GACGAACGCUGGCGGCGUGCUUAACACAUGCAAGUCGAGCGGAAAGGCCCUGCUUUUGUGGGGUGCUCGAGUGGCGAACGGGUGAGUAACACGUGAGUAACCUGCCCUUGACUUUGGGAUAACUUCAGGAAACUGGGGCUAAUACCGGAUAGGAGCUCCUGCUGCAUGGUGGGGGUUGGAAAGUUUCGGCGGUUGGGGAUGGACUCGCGGCUUAUCAGCUUGUUGGUGGGGUAGUGGCUUACCAAGGCUUCGACGGGUAGCCGGCCUGAGAGGGUGACCGGCCACAUUGGGACUGAGAUACGGCCCAGAGUCGUACGGGAGGCAGCAGUGGGGAAUAUUGCACAAUGGGCGGAAGCCUGAUGCAGAAACGCCGCGUGCGGGAUGACGGCCUUCGGGUUGUAAACCGCUUUCGCCUGUGACGAAGCGUGAGUGACGGUAAUGGGUAAAGAAGCACCGGCUAACUACGUG
rnacentral:rRNA from 1 species